GUUGACUAGCAGCCUAAUUUUUUUCAGGUAGUCCCUGUAUAUUUGGUGUUGUCUAAGCAUCCCAAAAGCCAUGAUCUCUAAACCAUCAUCCAACUCAUUAAUGAAAAUUUUGAAUAGUACCAGAUCCAAGGGAGAAGCCUGCAAAACCCUACUUGAUGUAGCCCUCCUUUUGGGCUGUGAACCAUUGACAACUACACACCAGGGCACCAGAGGAACCAACCAGCAGAUGAUUCAUGAAAGAGGAUGUUAAAGCAGCAUCACAGAAUUAUUCCACGCUCCUGAUCUGACCCGUCUGUGCCUCUCUUUGAGGUGUGAUGCAAGCCCUGACUAAUAAUAGCCAGAUGUGCCAAGGAAUGCUCCUUCUUGCAUAACUACAGGAAAAUAAAUGGGAAGUCUGCAUGCUCCUUCUGCUUCUGAAAGGAAACAGCAGAAAGGAUUUGAGAUCAUACCUGACUGAGCUUUGCUGCUCUGUACUCAGCCUGCCGUAUGGUCUGUUGGUGCAAUGCAGUAAGUUUCCCUAUCCUGUUAGCCAGCUGCUUAGCCAGCAGUGCAUUCUGCUCUGUGAAGUCCUGGACUGAUGCAUCUAAUUCCAACAGCUUUAUAUUGCAGCUGUCCAACUCUUCACCGAGGAUCUAGACAGAAAAGGAAGAAAAUCAGUGAUCCAGGAAAUGUUAGCUUUUUAGUUGAUUAUUUCUAGUCCAACUUGCAACUUUAUACACUGUCCAAAGUCUCCAUAGUUUGUUCCAUUUUUAUUCUGGCUGGAAACCAACAAUACUUCUCUAAGUAGGGAAGCAGAACAGCAGGAUGUUUGGUCAUCUCUUAAAUGUGUGCCACUACUCUUUCUUCUCUGACUUCCUGGCUGAAAAAGAUAACUGUUUUCCCUACCACAGCAAAAGACUGAGUCACUUCAGAGUGACAUUAACUGUUCUUGGCCAUCUUUCUGUUUGUUUUUGAAAUGAAUAGUCAGCACACAUUGCCAUGACAAGGAUUUUUAUUUAUUGGAAAGGGGUUUUGUUUUGUUGCUGUCUUAAAACAUACCUUUACAAACCCAGAAAUAUGUAAUUACUCAUUAAUACAUUAUGAAAACUUUUCAUUUGAAACUUGCAUUUUCAUAGCUUGAUCUUGACACAGGAGCAGUCUGGAUCAUGCUAGACUGCUUCAACAGAAAUAGAUUUUAAAAUCAAAUUUUCUUACCAUAGUUACAAAGUUUCUGAAAAGUUUAAAAAGGAAACCUAAAAGGUUUUCCAUGUUUCUUAUAGACUGAUAACACACUUAUGCGCUACAGUUUCUUGGGGAGGGGGUAUUGGGUUUCUUCUGUAUUUGGUUUUUAUACCUAAGCUGUUAACAAUUCCUUGGUUUUGUAAUAUAAAUAAAAUAAGUCUCAUCAAA